AUUGAACGCUGGCGGCAUGCCUUACACAUGCAAGUCGAACGGCAGCGGGGACUUCGGUCCGCCGGCGAGUGGCGAACGGGUGAGUAAUGUAUCGGAACGUACCUUUCAGUGGGGGAUAACGUAGCGAAAGUUACGCUAAUACCGCAUAUUCUGUGAGCAGGAAAGCAGGGGAUCGCAAGACCUUGCGCUGAUUGAGCGGCCGAUAUCAGAUUAGCUAGUUGGUGAGGUAAAGGCUCACCAAGGCGACGAUCUGUAGCGGGUCUGAGAGGAUGAUCCGCCACACUGGAACUGAGACACGGUCCAGACUCCUACGGGAGGCAGCAGUGGGGAAUUUUGGACAAUGGGGGCAACCCUGAUCCAGCCAUGCCGCGUGAGUGAAGAAGGCCUUCGGGUUGUAAAGCUCUUUCGGCCGGGAAGAAAUCGCAUGGGCUAAUACCCUGUGCGGAUGACGGUACCGGCAUAAGAAGCACCGGCUAACUACGUGCCAGCAGCCGCGGUAAUACGUAGGGUGCGAGCGUUAAUCGGGAUUACUGGGCGUAAAGCGUGCGCAGGCGGUUUUGUAAGACAGGCGUGAAAUCCCCGGGCUCAACCUGGGAACUGCGCUUGUGACUGCAAGGCUAGAGUAUGGCAGAGGGGGGUGGAAUUCCACGUGUAGCAGUGAAAUGCGUAGAGAUAUGGAGGAACACCAAUGGCGAAGGCAGCCCCCUGGGCCAAUACUGACGCUCAUGCACGAAAGCGUGGGUAGCAAACAGGAUUAGAUACCCUGGUAGUCCACGCCCUAAACGAUGUCAACUAGGUGUUGGGUGGGUA
rnacentral:rRNA from 1 species